CCCACUUGGCCACUUCCGUCUCCUCUCGGCUCGGCGGCCGCCUCCGCCCCACUCUUCCCCCACUUCUCCCCCAAGAAAAAGCCGAAUCAUGGACACCACCGGCGCCGCAGCCGCCGCCGCCGGCGGAGGCGGAGGCAGCGAGGAGGAGGACCAGGCCCGCCUGGCCGCCAUCACCGACAACCUCAAGGCCCGUGACUCGAUCCGGCUAUAUACCUGGCUCUCGCACCGGUGCUUCUCCGACUGCGUCACCACCUUCUACCGCAAGACGCUGGGCAAGCGCGAGGGGGACUGCGUCCGCGCCUGCGUCCGCAAGUACCAGCUCGCCACCGCCGCGUCCGCCGCCCGCUUCAACAAGCUCGCCGACCCCUCCGCCGCCGCCGCCGACGCCGACGAGGAUGACUGAUCCGUGCGGCCCUGUGCUCCACUCCACUGUCGGCUGGGGGAACUUUUUUGCCUGCUCUGGGUACUUGGAUCUAAAAUGAAGAUUUAGUUAUCCAGGUUAAGUCGCUCCAGGUUCUUGUUGCAGUCUCAUCAACUCUCAGCAUCAGUAUCCAGGACAGUAUCAUCGCAAAUUCACAGUAGUCCGAUAAGAGAUUUUAUUAUAAGCUUGAUGUUCCUUUUCGUUGACUUAUCACUGUUAAACAGAGACCUCUGAGCUGAUACUCUGCAUGUAAGCACACAAACAAUAAUCCUAUAAGACAGCUCAUCAACUCUGAUCCAGAAGUUUUAAGUUUCUGAAAAGAUACAACCAUUUAAUUAUGUGAGUGAAUAGAAGAAUGGGGGACUGGA